AGUUUGUGGGUCGCCGACGGUCCGGCUGCCCCCGCCUCCUUCCGUCUGAUCCGCGCUCUCCCGCGGCUGCGCCGGCUCGGCCGCCCGGGAGACAAAGCACCGCCGCUGCCGCCGCCGCAACCGAGCAGGUCCCGGGCCAUGGCCGGGCCGCUCCCCGGCUCCGCGUCUCCCGUCCCGCCACUGCUGCCGUCGCCCUCGUCCGCGCCGUGAGGUUUUUGAGCACCAACUACAUGCCAGGCACUGGAAUUCAGACAAAGAACCUCUGCCCUCCUACAGCAGGCAAAAAUGACCCAGAUGUGGAAGCAGAGGCCCAGAGAGGCUUAAAGCUUGCCCGGGGUCACACAGCCUGGACACUACAGAGCUGACAUUUGAACCCAGAGAAGCGCAAGCCGAAACCAGAACCGAGCAGAGGGCAGGGAAGUGAGCAGUGGCCUGAGAGGUGUCAGCUGAGAUGCCUCCUCCUCCAGGAAGCCUUCCGGGGACCCCCCCUAUUCACGCUCUCGUGGUGUUUCCACCAUUGAAGCACUGAGCACACAGCAGAUGGACAGCGACUGCAGACACAAUGUCAACACCAAAGCUAAUGGUCCAGAGGGAGCUUUGGUUCCCAGAGCCCAGGGGGCACCUACUUCUACAGGUUCUUAGGUGGCUUGUGUGUGUCAGAUGAGGCUUCCUCCUCCACUCCUGCCCCCACCUGCAACCCGCGGCCACAUCCUGAGGAUUUCUGACUUCUGACCUCUGGAGCUGCAAAGCAAGUGUCCAAAGGGCCUGUCUUUGGCUUUACUUUGGAGCAAUUAGUUAUCCUAACCAAGGAGGAGGUCACUCAUCAUUUCAUUCCCACCGCAAGGACGUGUGGAAAAACUGGGGUGAUCAGAAGGUUUCCAGACAAAGAGGAAAGGUCUGUCUUGGGAUGCCACGUGCCCUUGGCUCACGGGUGAAUAAUGUUUAAUGCCACUUAGGGAACUCUCUUGACAUUAUUGGUCAAGAAAAAACAAACCUCCUGCAGCUUGAUACACAGAGAGACUCACCAUCAUGGGUUGAAGGAACCCAACCCCCACUCAUGAAAACAGUAUGGAAUACUGAGCCCUUAUGUGCCACACACUGUCUUAUGUGUUUUACAUGCAUCAUCAUUCCUGAUAAUGACCCUCUGAGUUGGCUGCUGUGAUACUCCCAUUUUACAGAUGGUGAGACCGAGGCCCUAGUUAUACAGCUGGGAAAGGGGCGCUGCUGUGUUGGUCACCAGAAAGCCCCUCUUGGCAUUUUUCCAUCAGGAGUCUAGAGGCACCCGCCACUCACACACUCCACUGAGGUGGGCACAGCUUGUAAACUGGCUGGUCUUAGGGCCACGGCCUGUGGCCCCCGAUUGGGGCAGGGCACAAUCACAGCUCCUCAGAUCUAGACCCCAGAGUCUAACCAGCUUCCACCUGCUGCAAUGAGUGGAAAGUGUAUUCCAAUCCUUCCAUCUUCCUUUGUUGGAGCCCACAGCACAAUCAUCAACCAAGAUGCCCACAGGACCUGGGCAGGCGGUGCAGGUGCAGACAGAGGCAAAUCAUGGGCACAUGUCCUAAUGGGGAGGGCCACUCCUCAGCUAGCUGCUGUCAUGUUGGAAUUUGGGCCCUGUGUGGCCAGAUCUUACUGUUUUCCAGUGAAGCCAGUAAUCGAGAUUUUUAAUGAAAUUAGAACAUUCUUUAACACCAUACACAAAAAUAAACU